rnacentral:rRNA from 1 species
CGCGUAGGCGGCUUAGUAAGUCGGAUGUGAAAGCCCCGGGCUUAACCUGGGAAUUGCAUUCGAUACUGCUGGGCUAGAGUAUGGAAGAGGGAAGUGGAAUUCCGGGUGUAGCGGUGAAAUGCGUAGAUAUCCGGAGGAACACCAGUGGCGAAAGCGACUUCCUGGGCCAAUACUGACGCUGAGGUGCGAAAGCGUGGGGAGCAAACA